UGCCAGCAGCCGCGGUAAUACGAAGGUGGCAAGCAUUAUUCGGAAUCAUUGGGCAUAAAGGGCCCGUAGGCGGCUAAGCAAGUUGGUAGUGAAAGCCCUCAGCUCAACUGAGGAAUUGCUAUCAAAACUGCUUAGCUUGAGUACUGGAGGGGUGAGUGGAAUUUCUGGUGGAGCGGUGGAAUGUGUAGAUAUCAGAAAGAACGCCGGAGGCGAAAGCGACUCACUGGACAGUAACUGACGCUGAGGGGCGAAAGCUAGGGUAGCAAACGGGAUUAGAUA
rnacentral:rRNA from 1 species